UACGUAGGGGGCAAGCGUUGUCCGGAAUCAUUGGGCGUAAAGAGCGUGUAGGCGGCUCGGUAAGUCCGCUCUGAAAGCCCGGGGCUCAACCCCGGGAGGCGGGCGGAUACUGUCGGGCUAGAGUCCGGAAGAGGCGAGUGGAAUUCCUGGUGUAGCGGUGAAAAUGCGCAGAUAUCAGGAGGAACACCAAUGGCGAAGGCAGCUCGCUGGGACGGUACUGACGCUGAGACGCGAAAGCGUGGGGGAGCAAAACAGGAUUA
rnacentral:rRNA from 1 species